rnacentral:sRNA from 1 species
UCCGUAGGUGAACCUGCGGAAGGAUCAUUAAUAGUGCCCUCUGAUGCAAAUCAUUGGGUUAGAUCUGCUCUCUUCGCAAGAAGAGGGUUUCCAUACACACCGUGAACUGUGGCUUCGGCCAUCACAAACUGUUAGUAAUGAAUGUAAUAUCAUAACAAAAACAAAACUUUUAACAACGGAUCUCUUGGCUCUCGCAUCGAUGAAGAACGCAGCGAAAUGCGAUAAGUAAUGUGAAUUGCAGAAUUCAGUGAAUCAUCGAAUCUUUGAACGCACCUUGCGCCCUUUGGUAUUCCGAAGGGCAUGCCUGUUUGAGUGUCAUGAAACCUCACCCCACUUGGGUUUUUGCCUGAGCGGUGGUGUAUUGGGUGUUGCCUUGCUAAAGGCUCGCCUUAAAGACAUAAGCACCUUGGAUGUAAUACGUUUCAUCCUUCUGGGUGGCUGAUAACCCCACAUAUUCAUGAUCUGGCCUCAAAUCAGGUAGGGCUACCCGCUGAACUUAAGCAUAUCAAUAAGCGGAGGAAAAGAAACUAACUAGGAUUCCCUUAGUAACGGCGAGUGAACCGGGAUGAGCUCAAAUUUAAAAUCUGGCGUCUUUCAGGCGUCCGAGUUGUAAUCUAUAGAGGCGUUUUCCGCGCCGGACCGCGUCCAAGUCUCUUGGAAUAGAGUAUCAAAGAGGGUGACAAUCCCGUACUUGACGCGACAACCGGUGCUCUGUGAUACGUUCUCAAUGAGUCGAGUUGUUUGGGAAUGCAGCUCUAAAUGGGUGGUAAAUUCCAUCUAAGGCUAAAUAUUGGCGAGGGACCGAUAGCGAACAAGUACCGUGAGGGAAAGAUGAAAAGCACUUUGGAAAGAGAGUUAAACAGCACGUGAAAUUGUUAAAAGGGAAACGCUUGAAGU